rnacentral:rRNA from 1 species
AUUGAACGCUGGCGGAAUGCUUUACACAUGCAAGUCGAACGGCAGCACGGACUUCGGUCUGGUGGCGAGUGGCGAACGGGUGAGUAAUGUAUCGGAACGUGCCCAGUCGUGGGGGAUAACGUAGGGAAAAUUACGCUAAUACCGCAUACGAUCUAUGGAUGAAAGCGGGGGAUGGCAAGACCUCGCGCGAGUGGAGCGGCCGAUAUCAGAUUAGGUAGUUGGUGGGGUAAAGGCCCACCAAACCAACGAUCUGUAGCUGGUCUGAGAGGACGACCAGCCACACUGGAACUGAGACACGGUCCAGACUCCUACGGUAGGCAGCAGUGGGGAAUUUUGGACAAUGGGCGAAAGCCUGAUCCAGCCAUUCCGCGUGCAGGAUGAAGGCCCUCGGGUUGUAAACUGCUUUUGUACAGAACGAAAAGGUUUCUACUAAUACUAGGAGCUCAUGACGGUACUGUAAGAAUUAGCACCGGCUAACUCCGUGCCAGCAGCCGCCGUAA